rnacentral:rRNA from 1 species
UACGAAGGGGGCGAGCGUUGUUCGGAUUUACUGGGCGUAAAGGGCGCGCAGGCGGCAGACCAAGUCAGGCGUGAAAGCCCCGGGCUUAACCUGGGAACUGCGUCUGGGACUGGUUUGCUAGAGAUCGGGAGAGGAGAGUGGAAUUCCUGGUGUAGCGGUGAAAUGCGUAGAUAUCUGGAGGAACACCGGUGGCGAAGGCGACGUCCUGGACCGGCAUUGACGCUGAGGCACGAAGGUCAGGGGAGGCAAACGGG